rnacentral:lncRNA from 1 species
CGUGUCCAGUAUUGGUCGUGGAGUUUUGUCGCUGUGUGCAUCUCUGCAUCAUUAGACGGAAUACAAACUGCAGGCAUCCUGGACCAGUAUAUACCUAUAUGCAGUAUGCCCUCUGCUUACAGCCAGUCACAAUGUCAUCUACAGUUUGGCAGGGGACCCUGCAGUCACAUUGAGGGGAGGAUACUAUGCCCCAUUUGUGCAGAUGCCAUAUGUUCAACGACCCAUUUGGCUUUCCAUUGGGAACUGAUGUUAUAAACUGUUGGGCAGAUGUUCUGCAAGUGCGAGUGGGGACUUCCUGGAUUUUAAUCUUCCAUCUGAUAAACGAGGAAGCUCUAACAUCAAAAUGGAUGGAUGAAUCUAGCAGGAGAGCUCCCCAGCAGAUUGUGU